rnacentral:misc_RNA from 1 species
GAUGAAGAACGCAGCGAAAUGCGAUAAGUAAUGUGAAUUGCAGAAUUCCGUGAAUCAUCGAAUCUUUGAACGCACAUUGCGCCCCCUGGUAUUCCGGGGGGCAUGCCUGUCCGAGCGUCAUUGCAACCCUCAAGCGCGGCUUGUGUGUUGGGCUUCGUCCCCCCGUGGACGUGCCCGAAAGGCAGUGGCGGCGUCCCGAAUGGUGCCCGAGCGUAUGGGAACUCUCUUCCGCUCGAACCGGCCCAUUCGGCGCUGGUCGAACCCCAAUUUUUUUUUACCGGUUGACCUCGGAUCAGGUAGGGAUACCCGCUGAACUUAAGCAUAUCAAAAGCGGAGGA